AGUUGUUAAGACAUAAAAAUUCGGUCUCCUGACAAUUAUUCAUACGAAAAAAAUAAUUAUAAUUUUAAAACAAAACGCAAACAAUUUGCUACGUGUUUCAAAAGAAAACAUUGAUCAAAAGUAUACUUGGUUCGAAGAUAAUAAUUCAACGAAAUUGAAUGUUCAGCUAGAAGCUCUUUGAAAGGCUAUUGAAUCGACACCAUUAUUACACUUCGUCUUCUUCUCCUUCUUCAGUUUAUCUAUCCGUAAAGCUAUUUUUUGUCGUUUUCUGCUGUUGCUGUUGGCCCCGUCAUCGCAAUUUGAGCAUAUUAUACACACUGCACAGCAAUACACAUAUAGAGAGAAAUAACGAAAAAAAGAAACAGUUUGCACGCAGCAUACGAAAUUACACAGUGGAAAAUUCCUAUGAUAAAUUCGUGCAGUUCACGAGCGAACGAGAAAAUUUCAGUCCACGAUUGAGAUUUCAUUGCGUGAAAAAGAUGAGUUCAAAGAAUCUAUCCAAAGUCCAACUGAAAUUCAGUGAAUUGUCGCUCAAAAACAAUUCGGCGACGAAUGGUAAUCAGCAAAAUUCAACUUGGAUGCAAUACAAACAUUCACCCGAAAUACACGAUCUUAUGAGAUUCCGUACUGCUGUAAUGCAAAAAUAUGUACAAACCCACGAUGCCCACUUUCGAGACAUGGCCAAUGCAUUGACACCACAAAUCGAAGAUAAAAUCCGUGAAUUGAAUCGGUCACACAAUACAUUGAAUUAAUUUGUCGACGAUGAGGAUGAAGAUGAUGCGCCACAUAAUUUGCGCUAUAGUAUUUGCUCAAAAUUAAUGCAUCCAUUUUUUUCAGCGCUGCUCAAAAAUCAGUACCAGUUUCGAGUGAAGAAAAAAUUUAAACAAUAGUUCAGUGCAAAAUGCUGAUGCAAAUCAAACACAAAAAAAGAAUGAAAAACAAAACAGUGUGAUUGUUCGUGUAAGUGUUUUUGUUUUGGUGAUUCGUUUGGGGGACGUGCAACAACAAUAUCGUUCUGUAAAUUGGAAUGCAGAAGUGUACUUAUUAUUCAGAAGAACAUACACCAUUAUUGGAUUAACGUGAAUGCUUCAUGUCAAGCGGAAUUUAUCAAUAAACGAAUCGUAUCAAAAAAAAAAAAGUUCAGCACAGGUGCCAAUCUACCUUAAUUCCAUGAGCUGUGAUAAUGUCAUCAUUCAAACGUUCAUCAACUCUGCAGCUAAACAUUACGAAAAUAUUACAUUUCAGAACAAUUACGACGACAUCAAACCAAAUAUAAACAUAUUCAAAAAAGUUUCCAAACAAAGGUGUCUUGUUCUAGUUUUUUCCUCGCAAACUGUGUUUGUGUCAGUGAUUUUUCGUGUUCAAAUUUAAAACAUAAAAUAAAGUCACAUUUUCCCCCUUCAAGUGCGACAUGAACAGAUAAAUAUUUUAUUGUAUAAAGAACGAAACAAUGACAGUUUUAUGCGUGACAAAACCAUAAAUAACAAUUCGACAAGUGUAUGUGUGCAAGUGUAUUCCAUAUAAGUUAUUAUCGAUCAGCAAAAGUAAAGCUUUGAUGUAACAACGGUAAUAACCAUUGAACAUACUUGUACUUAACUUGUUCGGACGCUCUGAAAUGGAAACACUAACGAAAAUUAAGCUCAGCUCUUAGAUUUUAGAAACACUAAAUAUAGUUUUUACUAGGUGGUGGUUUGUUUUUAAUUGACCUUAUUUACUCGCCGAAUUCAAUAUCCAAACAUAUGUUAUGCAAUUCUUAUCAAUAUUUUGAUAACCCAAAUCCCAUAUUUGGUCACAUUGGAAAAUUCUUUUAUUAUUUCUGAGAAACAAAAUUUAGACUGUAUGAAAUAAUAAAAUUUCACCUGAUUGUAACAAGAAAUUAUACAAAUAUUAGAUAUUUAAAGAAAAAACCCAUUGAACUGACAGAAAUAAAUUCGAAUUUCGUGAUUAUAUCAUUCACAUCCAAAUUAUAUUCGAUAGAAAAGUAUUAACAAUAUAAAAGUAAAGAAAAGAAAACUUUAGCUUAUACUUAAUUUGUAAACGACCACAUAUACAAAAUUCGUUAAUUAUAAGUCGAAUCCGUUGUUGUGUCAAAAUUAAUAAGGCCACGUCAUAUAUCGCAUAUACAUUUUUUUUCGCAAAUUAUAAAAUGGUAAUUCCACUAUUCAAAACGAUCCAUAACAUUUUUAAAUUCAAUAGAAAAUUUUGUAACAAAUGGCAAAUGCCCAGAGUCAAAUUCAUCGACGAUUUUACAAAAUUCAGAUCGAUUCAUUCCAUCAUCUUAAUACAGUCAAAGGCCAUUAAAGUCAUCGACUGCGAAAUUGACGACGAUUUUAUUAUUAUUUUUAUAGAAUUAGAAACAUACUUAAUUUGUUAUCAUCAAAAUUUAUUUCAAUCAAUAAAUCAUUUCAGUCUCGAAUGUUUACAAGCAAGCGA